UGCAAGUCGAGCGGAAACGACUUAACUGAACCUUCGGGGAACGUUAAGGGCGUCGAGCGGCGGACGGGUGAGUAAUGCCUAGGAAAUUGCCUUGAUGUGGGGGAUAACCAUUGGAAACGAUGGCUAAUACCGCAUAAUGCCUUCGGGCCAAAGAGGGGGACCUUCGGGCCUCUCGCGUCAAGAUAUGCCUAGGUGGGAUUAGCUAGUUGGUGAGGUAAGGGCUCACCAAGGCGACGAUCCCUAGCUGGUCUGAGAGGAUGAUCAGCCACACUGGAACUGAGACACGGUCCAGACUCCUACGGGAGGCAGCAGUGGGGAAUAUUGCACAAUGGGCGCAAGCCUGAUGCAGCCAUGCCGCGUGUAUGAAGAAGGCCUUCGGGUUGUAAAGUACUUUCAGUCGUGAGGAAGGUUUCGUAGUUAAUAACUGCGUUGCUUGACGUUAGCGACAGAAGAAGCACCGGCUAACUCCGUGCCAGCAGCCGCGGUAAUACGGAGGGUGCGAGCGUUAAUCGGAAUUACUGGGCGUAAAGCGCAUGCAGGUGGUUCGUUAAGUCAGAUGUGAAAGCCCGGGGCUCAACCUCGGAAUUGCAUUUGAAACUGGCGGACUAGAGUACUGUAGAGGGGGGUAGAAUUUCAGGUGUAGCGGUGAAAUGCGUAGAGAUCUGAAGGAAUACCAGUGGCGAAGGCGGCCCCCUGGACAGAUACUGACACUCAGAUGCGAAAGCGUGGGGAGCAAACAGGAUUAGAUACC
rnacentral:rRNA from 1 species